rnacentral:rRNA from 1 species
UAUCUCUGUAGAGUCUGCAUAUCAAUAAGCGGAGGAAAAGAAACUAACUAGGAUUCCCCUCAGUAACGGCGAGUGAAGCGGGAAGAGCUCAAAUUUGAAAUCUUCAAGGGUUCUACCUUUACGAAUUGUAGUUUAAAGAAGUGUUUUCUGUUGAGGUUUUGGUAAAAGUUCUUUGGAAUAGGACAUCAUAGAGGGUGAGAAUCCCGUAUUUGACCAUUACUUUCCAGCUUUGUGAUACACUUUCAAAGAGUCGGAUUGUUUGGGAAUGCAGUCCAAAGUGGGUGGUAAAUUUCAUCUAAAGCUAAAUAUUGGCGAGAGACCGAUAGCGAACAAGUACCGUGAGGGAAAGAUGAAAAGAACUUUGAAAAGAGAGUUAAACAGUACGUGAAAUUGUCAAAAGGGAAGCGUUUGACACCAGUAGUUGUUUUCUCGAAAAUCAAUUAAAAAAAGUUGGAUUUUGUAUUGUUAAGACCUUAUCAGCUUACUGUACUCUUUUCUUGCUUUUUUUAAUGCACUUUUCGUUUAACAAGUCAACAUCAAUUUCUUUUGUUGUAAAAGAGUCAUUGGAAGGUGGCUUUCACUUCGGUGAAAGUGUUUAUAGCCUUUGGCUUCUGCAAUCGGAGAGAUUGAGGUCUGCAGCGUAGAUCCUUCGGGGCUAGAUACGUAGAUGCUAAGUUAUAGUUUUUUAUAGACAACUUGUUGACUAUAAUUAAUCAUGUAGCUUACUCGUUUGCGCUAUUUUACCUACGCUUAGGAUGUUGACGAUCAGCUGAGCGCG